GCCUGGAUAGCUCUGUUGGUUAAAGUAUGGUGCUGGUAACACCAAGGUUGCAGGUUUGAUUCCCGUAUAGGACA